rnacentral:tRNA from 1 species
GGAGGUACGGUGGCUCAGUGAUAGAGCAUCUGCCUUGCAUGUGGAAGGUCCCGGGUUCAAUCCCCAGCAUCUCCU